rnacentral:rRNA from 1 species
GAUGAACGCUGGCGGCGUGCUUAACACAUGCAAGUCGAACGGAAAGGCUCCUGCUUGCAGGGGUACUCGAGUGGCGAACGGGUGAGUAACACGUGGGUGAUCUGCCCUGCACUUCGGGAUAAGCCUGGGAAACUGGGUCUAAUACCGGAUAGGACCACAUUUUGGAUGGUGUGGUGGAAAGUUUUUCGGUGUGGGAUGAGCUCGCGGCCUAUCAGCUUGUUGGUGGGGUAAUGGCCUACCAAGGCGUCGACGGGUAGCCGGCCUGUGAGGGUGUACGGCCACAUUGGGACUGAGGUACGGCCCAGACUCCUACGGGAGGCAGCAGUGGGGAAUAUUGCACAAUGGGCGCAAGCCUGAUGCAGCGACGCCGCGUGGGGGAUGACGGCCUUCGGGUUGUAAACUCCUUUCGCUAGGGACGAAGCGUUUUUGUGACGGGACCUGGAGAAGAAACACCGGCUAACUACGU